CCUACGGGUGGCAGCAGUGAGGAAUAUUGGUCAAUGGACGAGAGUCUGAACCAGCCAAGUAGCGUGAAGGAUGACUGCCCUAUGGGUUGUAAACUUCUUUUAUAUGGGAAUAAAAUGUUCCACGUGUGGGAUUUUGUAUGUACCAUAUGAAUAAGGAUCGGCUAACUCCGUGCCAGCAGCCGCGGUAAUACGGAGGAUCCGAGCGUUAUCCGGAUUUAUUGGGUUUAAAGGGAGCGUAGGUGGAUUGUUAAGUCAGUUGUGAAAGUUUGCGGCUCAACCGUAAAAUUGAAGUUGAAACUGGCAGUCUUGAGUACAGUAGAGGUGGGCGGAAUUCGUGGUGUAGCGGUGAAAUGCUUAGAUAUCACGAAGAACUCCGAUUGCGAAGGCAGUUCACUGGACUGCAACUGACACUGAGGCUCGAAAGUGUGGGUAUCAAACAGGAGUAGAUACCCUAGUAGUC
rnacentral:rRNA from 1 species